rnacentral:lncRNA from 1 species
GCAAGUCUGCUUUCCUUUCUUCCAGUUCUAGCUUCCUUUCUGUUUAGCUCUUUAGCCAUGUUGAAGACUCUGUUGGGUUUUGUUUGUGAAUAUACAUGCACAAAGUUUUUUUUUUAUCUAAGGCUCCUUUGGAUCAUCACUGUGUCUCUGCAAGAGAUGAGAGAGUUGAACAGAGGCCAUGGGACCUUUCAUUCAAGAAUCUCAGUGCACUUUUGAAAUGAGAUAUUCUCAAUAUCAAGCCAACACACAGGGAAGAAAUAAUUCUAAGGAUCCUGAAAGAAAUUCCAGGACAAGGACGGUGACUGGCAGAGCAACCUCUUCCCCCAUGACAUCAAACGUAGGCAGAGGCUAGUGCUGACCUGGGGUGAACCUUCAAAAAAUCACAUGUUGCUGAAUAAGAGAUAGAAGCAUCUGUAUGAGGUUUUUUCCUGUGAUGAUGUAGAAAGGGAGAGAUGUUAAAAUUUAUUUAAUUCCUGUUUAGUUU